ACCCUACGCUGGCGGCGUGCUUAACACAUGCAAGUCGAACGGAAAGGCCCCUUCGGGGGUACUCGAGUGGCGAACGGGUGAGUAACACGUGGGUGAUCUGCCCUGCACUUUGGGAUAAGCCUGGGAAACUGGGUCUAAUACCGAAUAGGACCGCAUGCUUCAUGGUGUGUGGUGGAAAGCUUUUGCGGUGUGGGAUGGGCCCGCGGCCUAUCAGCUUGUUGGUGGGGUAAUGGCCUACCAAGGCGACGACGGGUAGCCGGCCUGAGAGGGUGUCCGGCCACACUGGGACUGAGAUACGGCCCAGACUCCUACGGGAGGCAGCAGUGGGGAAUAUUGCACAAUGGGCGCAAGCCUGAUGCAGCGACGCCGCGUGGGGGAUGACGGCCUUCGGGUUGUAAACCUCUUUCAGUAUCGGCGAAGCUCCAGGAUUUUUCUUGGGGUGACGGUAGGUACAGAAGAAGCACCGGCCAACUACGUGCCAGCAGCCGCGGUAAUACGUAGGGUGCGAGCGUUGUCCGGAAUUACUGGGCGUAAAGAGCUCGUAGGUGGUUUGUCACGUUGUCCGUGAAAACUCACAGCUUAACUGUGGGCGUGCGGGCGAUACGGGCAGACUGGAGUACUGUAGGGGAGACUGGAAUUCCUGGUGUAGCGGUGGAAUGCGCAGAUAUCAGGAGGAACACCGGUGGCGAAGGCGGGUCUCUGGGCAGUAACUGACGCUGAGGAGCGAAAGCGUGGGGAGCGAACAGGAUUAGAUACCCUGGUAGUCCACGCCGUAAACGGUGGGUACUAGGUGUGGGUUUCCUUCCUUUAGGGAUCCGUGCCGUAGCUAACGCAUUAAGUACCCCGCCUGGGGAGUACGGCCGCAAGGACAU
rnacentral:rRNA from 1 species